GAUGAACGCUGGCGGCGUGCCUAAUACAUGCAAGUCGAGCGAACGGACGAGAAGCUUGCUUUUCUGAUGUUAGCGGCGGACGGGUGAGUAACACGUGGAUAACCUACCUAUAAGACUGGGAUAACUUCGGGAAACCGGAGCUAAUACCGGAUAAUAUUUUGAACCGCAUGGUUCAAAAGUGAAAGACGGUCUUGCUGUCACUUAUAGAUGGAUCCGCGCUGCAUUAGCUAGUUGGUAAGGUAACGGCUUACCAAGGCAACGAUGCAUAGCCGACCUGAGAGGGUGAUCGGCCACACUGGAACUGAGACACGGUCCAGACUCCUACGGGAGGCAGCAGUAGGGAAUCUUCCGCAAUGGGCGAAAGCCUGACGGAGCAACGCCGCGUGAGUGAUGAAGGUCUUCGGAUCGUAAAACUCUGUUAUUAGGGAGGAACAUAUGUGUAAGUAACUGUGCACAUCUUGACGGUACCUAAUCAGAAAGCCACGGCUAACUACGUG
rnacentral:rRNA from 1 species